rnacentral:rRNA from 1 species
GCCCUACGGGGUGCAGCAGGCGCGAAAACUUUACAAUGCUGGCAACAGCGAUAAGGGAACCUCGAGUGCCAAGUUACAAAUCUGGCUGUCGAGAUGCCUAAAAAGCAUUUCAUAGCAAGGGCCGGGCAAGACCGGUGCCAGCCGCCGCGGUAACACCGGCGGCUCGAGUGGUAACCGUUAUUAUUGGGUCUAAAGGGUCUGUAGCCGGCCGGAUAAGUCUCUUGAGAAAUCUGGCAGCUUAACUGUCAGGCUUUCAGGAGAUACUGUCUGGCUCGAGGCCGGGAGAGGUGAGAGGUACUUCAGGGGUAGGGGUGAAAUCUUGUAAUCCUUGAAGGACCACCAGUGGCGAAGGCGUCUCACCAGAACGGACCUGACGGCAAGGGACGAACGCUAGGGGCACGAACCGGAUUAGAUACCCGGGUAGUCCUAGCCGUAAACGAUACUCGCUAGGUGUCGGCCACGGUGCGACCGUUGUCGGUGCCGUAGGGAAGCCGUGAAGCGAGCCACCUGGGAAGUACGGCCGCAAGGCUGAAACUUAAAGGAAUUGGCGGGGGAGCACCACAACGGGUGGAGCUUGCGGUUUAAUUGGAUUCAACGCCGGAAAUCUUAC